ACUCCCUCCCACACACCCAGGAGCUCCAGCCUGUUAUGGGAUGGGCAUCCUACCAGGAACCAAGGAUGCUAAGAUGUCCUCCAAAAUGGAUUGCCUCAUAUCUAGUACCCGCCUGCUGCAGGCUUCUUCAUCUAGUUCCUCUGGGGACACACUGUGCAGCUAAUUCAUCCAGGCAGAUUCACUGGGAAGCUGUUGCUCAUGAGGGUGUAAUGAAGAAUCUCCAGGUGGAGAAAUGAUCCUGAAUUAUCCAGUGGGCCCUACAUGUCACCACAUUGCGAUCCUUCUAAGUAGGAAGCAGAAGAUCUGACACAUGCAGGAGAGGGGAAGGCAAUGUGACCAUGGAGGCAGAGAGGGGAGUGAUGUGGCCACAAACCAAGGAUUGUUGGCAGCUGCCAGUGGCCGAAGGGGCAAUGAAUGGAUUCUCCUUUGGAGCCUCUGGAGGGAGAAUGGCCCUGCUAACACCUUGAUUUUGGCCCAGUGAUACUGAUUUUGGACUUCUGCCCUCUAGAACUGUGAGGGAAUACUUUUCUGUUGCUUUAAGCCAUUGAAUUUAUGAUGAUUUGUUACAGCACCCACAGGAAACAAAUGCAUGGAUCUAACUUGAACCUAGUGAGUUAGAUUACUUCAGGGAAACACAAUAAAUAGUUAACAGGGCUUGUCAGGGGGGUGGGAGUGAGAUGAAAGUGUGAAGGCAACUUCUAUGGUUUACUUUUAUAUUUCCCUAUUUUUCAAAUCUUUUGCAAGAAAAUGAAUUCAUAUACUAUUUUAAAAAACAUAUAAAAUAUGAGCAAAAAGAUUUAUUGUAUCUCUUUAAAAUAAUUUAGAACAAGUAAUGGCUGCAGAACCUUAAAGGGUUUUUCUAGCAUGUUUCCAAGAUACAGUCUUGAUUAUUUGAGAUUGACAUGAAGAUGGCCCAGACUGUGCCACAACACAGCACUUGACACCAAAUGUUAGACUGUAAUGGGCCGUGUGAGUAUUACUCAGUGUGGCCAUUUCAUUAUCAAAUAUCUAUUUAUUUCAGAUUUCAAACACGAAUACAAGCUUCUCCUUUCUUUCCUUCCUUUCUCUUUUUCUCCUUUCUACAGCAAGUUCAGGAAUGUGCUAGGUAUGACCUGGGAUAGAAAGAGCAUAUACUCAGCUUUUGCCUUCAAGAAAAUUGGAUAUUGGCUUGGGAGAUAAGAUAAAUGAAAAGGAAGCAGAUGAUCUGUUAUAGAAGAGAUAACACUGUAAGCCCAAAUGUAUGUGAUUAAGUUCUAAAAGUGUAAACCAAUAGGGAGUGCUGUGAGGUGUCACCACGGGCGCAGAUUGCAGCAGAUCUGACCAUACAAGUGUAAAUAAAACCCUAUUGAAUGCCCCCUCUCCCUCCCCAAUUGUUCUGAGUGGUUGCUUCAAGAUUUCUUCUCAUCGUUCUCAAAUUGUUACUGUGAGAUUAACUGGCAAACAUUUCUCCUUAACAUAAGAAGUGUGAAUGGAAUCCUACCAAGUGAUUUUGCCAAUAGUUCCUAUUCCUGCUGCAAACAGUGGUGUGCUCAGGCUUAAGCUGUAACAUGUCCACACUCACCUGUCACUUGGGAAUGCCUCUGUUGGAAUGCAACAUGCCCACUUAUCACACAGCCGGCAUGAGAGGCAGAGUGGAGUUUAACCAAGCAUUCUGCCCCCAAAGUCUGCAGAUGUAGCCAGUGCCUUCAGAAAAGGGAAGGGAAACUAACCCUGUUGAGUAUCUACUAUGUGCUAGGCAUUCUGUUAAGCACUUUUACACACAUCAUUUAAUCCUCGUGACAGUAUUUAGAAAUAGCUAUCAUUUCCCAGUUCUGUAGAUGAGGAAGAAAAGGUAGGCUCAGAGAGGGUAGGUAAGUUGUCUAAGGUCACAUAGCUGGUACAUAGUAGUAGAGCUAGGGUGCAAACCCAAGAUUUUCUGAGUCCAAAGCACAUGCCUAUUCCAUCAUUUCGGUAAUAAGAAUAAAUGUCUUUCAAAUGUAGUGGUGAGAGAUGAAUAAAAAGCCGUCCUUGGUGAUCCUGGGGAGUCUACACCCUCUGCCUGCCUGGCUCCACAUCAAGCUUGUGUUUGCCAGCACUUACACCCCUGCAUUUCCCUCCAAUCCCUGUCAUCUCCCUUGUGGAGUCCUCUCCUCCUCUCCUACCCGUUGGUCCCCUUUUUCACCCAUCCUUCAGCCAUUUAAUGAUCUCAUUGUAUUGCCCAGGCUGGUGUGCCUUGGCACAAUCUUGGCUCACUGCAGCCUCCACCUCUUGGGUUCAAGUGAUCCUCACCACUCAGUCUCUUGAGUAGCUGCUGGGACUACAGGCACGUGCUACCAUGCCUGGCUAAUUUUUUGUAUUUUUUGGUAGAGACAGGGUUUCAUCAUGUUGGCCAGGCUAUUCAAACUCCUGGGCUCCAGUGAUCGGCCUGCCUCGGCUCCCAAAAUGCUGGGAUUACAGGCAUGAACCACCAUGCCUGGGCUAGCAAUUAUUUCUUGACUUGAAUUGCUUCCUGGUUGCUCACAGAAGUCUGCUGCAACCUCUUCUCCCCAGCUUAUUCCUUUUGUGCCACUUCACUCCCAAUUCCCACCCUUCACUAUCCAUGACUCUGUCCUGAGCUCAGAGAUAACUCAGUGAAUAAAACCUUCCACCAUGAUGGCAAUGUUCUGUAUUCACGCUGUCCAACGUGGUAGCCACUAGCCACAUGUGGAUUUUGAGCCCUUGAAACAUGGCUAGUGUGACUGAAGAACCGACUUUUUAGUUGCAUGUUAAAUAUAAUCAACCAAUUAAUUUAAGUAAUUUAUUUAAAUAAUAUAGGUAAAUUAAUUUACAUUUUAAUAGCUCCUGCCAUAUUGGAUCACAUAGCUGUCCAAACAUGGAAAAAACAAGCUCCUCCAUCUGAAGCCCAAACUUGAGUACAGGCUUUUGCAAAAUUCUGCAGAAGUAUAUUCUUAAGUUUACAGAAAUGAAGUCUGAUGGAAAGCUGUACAAUUCAUUUCCAAGCGUGUCGUGGCUCCCGUUUGUUCUCAAGUUCUCUUGAGCAAGUCAUCAUGCAGUCAGUCUGUGGACUCACGUGUAGACACCACCUGUUGUCUAUAGGGUGGCAGCUCCAUUAAAAUAACAUUCACAUCUAUAGGGGAACAUGGGGGAGAUGCCUAAGUGGUCUGUUAUGGAAUUGCCCUAAAAUCCCUCCAAAGACAUUGAGAUGCUAACUAGAAAAAAUUGCUUCUUUUUUCCCCCUCUUCAUUUCUGUCAAAUUUAAUUUUCUUGUUUUCUUUUCCUGAAACUCUAGUAGCUGUCAAGAAUGUAUUGCUGGAAGCCAAAUCUGUCAUUUUGUCUUCGGCAGUUGAAGAACUUUCAUUUUUCUUUCUAGGAGUAAUGCAUUUCUACUUAGAGAACAGCUAAGUGAAAAUGUACUCCUGAAACAAGAUUUUUUCUGCAGGCUUCCUUGAAUUUGUCAAAAAGACAAAAAUCUUACCAGCUUCACUUUGUAAUAAUGCCCCAAAGUUACUUGGAAUCAUCUUCCACCUACUUUUCUUGUCUCUAUUAUUUAAUAUGUGUAGUAGGGAAGAAGAAAAUGAACACAUUUACAAUUUAAGGUUCUGCUUAUACAUGUAUUGUCAAAGCUAAUUGUUUUAAACAAGGUGUUUUAUCUUUGAUUAAAGUGAUCAAUGCCUAUAAGUAUAAAAGAAAUGAUAGUAGAGUUUCAUGGUCUCUUUCAUAACACAGUCCCAUACUUAACACUUUGAUGUGCUGACACUGAUAAUGAAGAUACAAGGCCUGACUUAAGCAAUAGUUAGCCUUCAAAAUAGAAAGGUGAAUGGUACAUUCAUUUCUGAAAUUCCUGAGGUUUUUCCUUGCUCUACUCAGUUAGACAGAGAAGCAUUAAAAAAAAAAAAAAUCCCCAUUGCAGAGAAGGAAACUGAGACCACCAGUCAAUCAAAGGGAGGAUUUUUACUUUCCCAAAACAACUGGGUAUCAGCAAUGUCAAAUAUUCAACAUAACUUGUAAGCCCUCCUAGCACUACCUUCAAAGCACAUAAGGCAUCUCUUCAGGUCAGCCAUUUGCUCCUGACACAGACCUGAUGUCUACUGCUUGUGUAAUUGAUGUUAACAAUGGAUACUGAGAAUUCCCCAAGAGAAUUUUACUGUUUUCAUUAAGUUGGUCAAGUAGAAAAGGUGAAUACUAUUGUCAUCCCUGCCCUAACAAUGUGAUUAACAUUUUAUCUCUCUGAGUUCCUCUCCCCUCCUUACCCUUUAUCCCUAUCAGGGGCAGACUCAUAUCAUGAUAAUGUCAUUGCUACACAGCUCAAGUUCACUGUCACCCAAGAGGGUCUCCUGGAGCUUACACAUGACAGGCAAUGGUAUUAGAGGUGAAAUAUACAGAAGCAAUGGCAUUAGAAAUAUACAGAAUGUAUAAAUAAAUAUGCAGAAGCAUUGGCAUUAGAGAUGAAAUGUAAACUUUCCAUAAACAUUGUGAAUGCCCGAUUCAAGGAAAGUAUGUUCUGUCCGAAUCGGAAACACCUUUUAGCUACAGUGGUUCUGAGGAAGGUACCUCUGCGAGGAUGUUAAAAAAAUAUGUAAAGGUGUAUUUUUCAUUGUCACAGCAACAAGGAUGAAAAGGUGGAAAAUGGGAAAGGGUGAUGGGGAUGGUAGAGGGGUGGGGACCUACCAGCAUCUGGUGUCCAGGACUCAGGGAUGUCAAAUGCCUGCAAUUCUCAGGGCAUUCCCACCUUAUGAAUUGUCUCACCAAAAAUGUCAGUAACACCUGUACUGGGAAAGAAUGGAAGGGGAAGUGCGCAGCACUCAAAUAGUUGCUAACAAUGGUCAUUUGAAAUUCACCAUUUUACAUACAUAU
rnacentral:lncRNA from 1 species